rnacentral:lncRNA from 1 species
GCUUCCAAAAAUAGUUCACAAACCAGAACAGUCACUUCCAGAUUUGCGACGUUUGGGAGCCAAAACGUUCGAGAACUAAGCUGUUCAGAAACCAAGGUAAACGACUGUAUAUUAUAAAAUAGAACAUAUUUUUAAAAUAAGUUUUCUGACUUUAAGGGAUUUCCCCCUUCCAACCACCACUACCUUCAACUGAUAACCAACAUGGUUGAACACUUGGAUGUACACUGUACCUGAUGUACCUGAUGUACACUUUCCGGUAAGAAAAUGGCUGCAGAUAUCAUCAUGAAUUUAUAUUGUGCCAUCUAUGCACAUCAAACCUUAACUUCCGGAAGUACAGUGGAAUAUAGCAUAUGUUUAGUGCUCAUUUCCAGUGUCCGGGGGGGGGGGGAUGUGUUUGCAAAUAUGGAAAUGAGCGCUAAGCUGUGGAUCACGAGACUGAGAUCAAACCAAGAACCCCUUGCCGUUUUGUAUCUAUAUCUGUAUAUUACUUGACCAAAGGCCAGCCAAGUGCGUAGCGGAACCUUUGGAGAUGAUGGCUGGUAUUUCCUUAUAACUGCUAUUAACGGAAAGGGCCUGAUCAAUCUGUUCUAAUUCCUUCCAGGCGAUAUAAUUGACUAAUAAGAACCAACUAAGAAUUCAUUUCCACAAAUUAAAGGAAGACAGUUCAAUUAUCAUCCCCGUCAGAGUUUCUAAAGUACAGCUUGGGACAGAGAGAGAAAGAGGUUGAUAAAGGUCAGGACAUUAAUUAGCCUUAUUUUGCCUUUGCUGCAUGCUGGUGUUUGUUUGUGGAUUAGGAAAUAUAGACCAAGGCUCACAAGUAGGUGGCUGGGAUGGAUGGAAGAUUGAGGAGAAGAUUCCUGUGCAGCUGUUGGGUGUGUGGCCACAGAUCAGCACCUAGAAUGAGUCAUAGAAUGAGGGUCAUCUAAUCCAACCCCUUGCAAUGCAGGAAGCUCAACUAAAGCUUCCAUGCCAGAUGGCUACCCAAUCUCUGCUUAAAAACCACCAGUGAAGAACAGACCACCACCUUCCGAUGGAGUCUGUUCCACUGUCCAACAGCUCUUACCACCCAAAAGUUAUUCCUGAUGUUUAGUCAGAAUUGCCUUUCUUGUAACUUGAAUGCACUGAUCUGAGUCCUACCCUCCACAGUAGGAGAAAGCAAGCUUAUUCCAUCGUCCAUGUGCCAGCCCUUGAGAUAUUUGAAGAUGGCUAUCAAAUCUCCUCUCAGACUCUUUUCCAAGCUAAACAUAACCAAUUCCUUCAAUUGGUCCUCAUAAUGAUUGGUUUCCAGAACGUUUAUCAUCUUGGUUGCCCUCCCAUGCACACAGUCCAGCUUCUCAAUAUCCUUCUUAAAUUGUGGUGCCAAGAACUGAACACAGUACUCCAGGUGUGGUCUAAACAAGGCAGAAUUGAGUGGGAAGAUGACUUCACUUGAUCUGGACACUAUAUUUUUGUUAAUGCAGGCUAGAAUAGCAUUAGGGGUUUUUUUGUUUUGGGGUUUUUUUUUGCUUCUACCACACACUCUUGACUCCCCUGAAGCUUUUGGAUUACUAAGAUCCCUUAGCACUCUAGUUGUCCCCCAUUUUAUAUUUGUGCAGCUGGUUCUUCCUGCCUAGGUGAAGAACCUGACAUUUGCCCCUAUUGAAAUUCAUUUUUGUUAGUUUGGGCCCAGUUCUCCAAUCUGUUAGGUAAAGGUAAAGGGACCCCUGACCAUUAGGUCCAGUCGUGGACAACUUUGGGGUUGUGGUGCUCAUCUCACUUUUUUGGCCGAGGGAGCCAGCGUACAGCUUCUGGGUCACGUGGCCAGCAAGACUAAGCCACUUCUGGCAAACCAGAGCAGCGCAUGGAAACACCGUUUACCUUCCCACCAGAGUGGUACCUAUUUAUCUACUUGCACUUUGAUGUGCUUUCGAACUGCUAGGUUGGCAGGAGCAGGGACCGAGCAACGGGAGCUCACCCCAUCGCAGGGAUUCAAACUGCAGACCUUCUGAUCGGCAAGCCCUAGGCUCUGUGGUUUAACCCACAGCACCAUCCGCGUCCCUAUUGAAAUUCAUUUUUGUUAGUUUGGGCCCAGUUCUCCAAUCUGUUAAGGUCAAUUUAAAUUCUGAUUCUGUCUUUUCAGGCAUUGGCUACCCCCCCCCUUUGAUGUCAUUUGCAAAUUUGAUGAGUAUCCCCUCAGUUCCUUCAUCUGAGUUAUUUAUAAAGAUACUGAACACCUAUGGGCCCAGGACAGAACCCUGUGGCACCCCACUUGUCACUUUUUUCCAGGAUGGUGAGGAACCAUUAGAGAACACUAUUUGGGUUUGGUCAAUUAAUAGCUGGAAAUCUACCUAACAAUAACUUUGUCCAGCCCACAUUUUAAUGGCUUCUCAGCAAGAAUAAAAUGGGGCACUUUGUCAAAAGCCUUACAGUGGUACCUCGGGUUAAGAACUUAAUUCAUUCUGGAGGUCCAUUCUUAACCUGAAACUGUUCUUAACCCGAGGUACCACUUUAGCUAAUGGGGCGUUCCGCUGCCGCUGCACGAUUUCUGUUCUUAUCCUGAAGCAAAGUUCUUAAUCCGAGGUACUAUUUCUUGGUUAGUGGAGUCUGUAACCUGAAGCGUCUGUAACCUGAGGUACCACUGUACUGAAAGGAAGAUAAACUAUGUCAACAGCCACUAUGUCAGGUAUCUGAAAAAGUGUGCCUGCACACAAAAGCUUAUACCCAGAACAAACUUAGUUGGUCUCUAAGGUGCUCCUGGACAUAUUUUUUUUAAAAAAAUAUUUAUUUAUUAUUUUGACUGCGUCAGACCAACACGGCUACCUACCUGAAUCUAUGUCAACAGCAUUACUGAUCCACUAAGUUUUUAACUCUAUCCAAAAAGUAAAUAAGUUUUUGAGAAACGUAUGUUGGGUCUUAGUAAUCACAACAUCCUUUUCCGAGUGCUAACAGACCAACCAUUUAAUUAUAUGUUCUAUGUCAGGGACGUGGCUGAAUUGAAUGCCUGGGAAGAGUCCUACACUGGAGAUGAAGGAUUGCUAGUACAAAGAGCGUCAGAGUCUGACCCUGGAGAUGAAAGAAUGCAGACAGAGCAGGUGUGGGUGAGCUCAGCCCCCCUUCACCAAGAGUUCCCUGACUCAGCUGGAGCAGCAGACUUGGACAGCUCACAAGAAGGGGGGGAGAGUUAGAUGGCAGUGAGGGGGUUGCUAUGCAACCAGCAGAGAAACAGAGUGCGGAGGGUUCUUCUUUUGAAAGCGCGGGGGGAGAGCUGAAAGGGUUAAAAUGCAAUGGAAGAGGAAGGACUGGACUUUGGCACCCUUUUUGCUGUAACAGGGGUGGAGACUCAGAGUGAC